CUAAGCGCAUACGGUGGAUGCCUUGGCAGUCAGAGGCGAUGAAAGACGUGGAAGCCUGCGAUAAGGUUCGGGGAGCUGGCAAACAAGCUGUGAUCCGGGCAUUUCUGAAUGGGGAAACCCACCGACUUUCGGGUCGGUAUCUUGCACUGAAUACAUAGGUGUAAGAGGCGAACCGGGGGAACUGAAACAUCUAAGUACC
rnacentral:rRNA from 11 species